UUACUUUCACUUUCCUGAACUUCGUGGAGUGGAGCUUGUUGUUGGUAUUUGAAGAAACUGUGGAGUCCCGCCUCCUUCCAAGAAGCAGCUCACCUGUGUGUCCAUGUGUGAAGGUAGAAAGUGUGUGUGAGCUGAUGUGAA